UUAUUAUAAAUCCAACAGCGGUCUGUUACAGAAUAGAACCAACAAUUUAAUUUUUAUUUGAAGUUUUCAGAAUUUUGAGAUACUUAAUAUUUUGCGCCGCGAAAAAUGAAAUGAAAGAAAGCAGCUAUAAAUUGAG